UACGGGGGGGGCAAGCGUUGUUCGGAAUUACUGGGCGUAAAGGGCUCGUAGGCGGCCAACUAAGUCAGACGUGAAAUCCCUCGGCUUAACCGGGGAACUGCGUCUGAUACUGGAUGGCUCGAGAUUGGGAGAGGGAUGCGGAAUUCCAGGUGUAGCGGUGAAAUGCGUAGAUAUCUGGAGGAACACCGAUGGCGAAGGCGACAUCCUGGACCAACACUGACGCUGAGGAGCGAAAGCCAGGGGAGCAAGCGGG
rnacentral:rRNA from 1 species